GCCUGGGUGGCUCAGUAGGUUGAGCGUCUGAGUUCGGUUCAGGUCAUGAUCUCGCGGCCUGUGGGUUCGAGCCCCACGUUGGGCU
rfam:Felis catus isolate Cinnamon breed Abyssinian chromosome E2, whole genome shotgun sequence.